CCUACGGGAGGCAGCAGUGGGGAAUAUUGCACAAUGGGGGAAACCCUGAUGCAGCAACGCCGCGUGAGCGAAGAAGUAUUUCGGUAGGUAAAGCUCUAUCAGCAGGGAAGAAGAAAGACGGUACCUGACUAAGAAGCCCCGGCUAACUACGUGCCAGCAGCCGCGGUAAUACGUAGGGGGCAAGCGUUAUCCGGAUUUACUGGGUGUAAAGGGAGCGUAGACGGAUGUGGAAGUCUGAAGUGAAAGCCCGUGGCUCAACGGGGGAACUGCUUUGGAAACUGUAUAGCUGGAGUACUGGUGAGGCAGGAGGAAUGCGUAGUGUAGCGGUGAAAUGCGUAGAUAUUA
rnacentral:rRNA from 1 species